CCGAGCAAGCGCAGGCCGAGGGGGCGCGAGGGAGCGCAUGGAAGGGAGGCGGAGACGGCAGCUCCCUGGGGACCUCAGACUGGGGAAUCAUGGAUACAGGAACCGACAACCCUCCCGCCCACGCGGAAAUAACCGCCUCCAACCACGGCUCCAUUUGGAUUCCCGGUUACACCAAAAACGCCAGCCUGGGAACAAAGGGAAGCGCGACGGCUGAAACUCACCGGUGAGCGGGCCAAGGCCGGUGAGGGGGAGCGGGAAGGAGCGCGUCGCUGUGCGCAGCUCAGGCAACCGCCGCUCCUCCGCCUCUCACCGAGCGUUCUGGAAAGUUCCGGCCGGCGCUCCGGAGCCGUCGUCUUUUGUAGCCGAGCCCGGGCGCGUCACCCGCCGGAAGUCCCGCCCCUCCCGGCCGCUGCCACCGCCCGCGGUUACCUGGGCAACGGCGCGGGGGCGCUCGGGCUGGGAGGGGCUCUGGCGGAAGGGCCCUGUGGGGGUGGGGGAAAGCCCGCGUUCUCGACGUUUCGGAAGCUUCUGGAGCCCGCACCUCCAUCCAGCGGCCCUGAGUGCGGAAAUCUCGGGUGGACCGGGGUAUUGUGCACCGUGCGGAGCAAUUCCGAUGCAACUCGGGAUUCCCAAAUUAGUGAGGCGGCCGCGGCUGGGUAGGGAUCGGGAGCUGGGACCCAGGCGGAAGCUGCCGAAUGGUAACCUCCCAGAACAAAGCCCUGCAGCCGCUCCUCCCCAUCGGCGUCUUUUUCGCCUUUCGGCGUCUCCAACUGGAUAAGUCCCUGACCCUGAAGUUCUGGGAAUCUGCGAAGCAAGAAAUGCUGAGCAAGGCGGUCAUAGCCGACAGACCAAUAUCGCAGACCUUGAAACUUGCUCUUUUUCCACACAGUCCAGGGCCUCGUGAUUCACCGAAGUGGGAGGAACCCACAAGUUUGAGAGCUGUAAGUAUGAAGCAAACAUGAAGAUAACUUCUUGACACAAUGAGACCUGAUAUUGAAGAUACGUUUAAAAUGUGCAAGCUCAUAUAUUAAGUGAAUAAAAUAAUGGGCAUAAAAUUGGUUAAU